UACGUAGGGUGCGAGCGUUAAUCGGAAUUACUGGGCGUAAAGCGUGCGCAGGCGGUUCGCUAAGACCGAUGUGAAAUCCCCGGGCUUAACCUGGGAACUGCAUUGGUGACUGGCGGGCUAGAGUAUGGCAGAGGGGGGUAGAAUUCCACGUGUAACAGUGAAAUGCGUAGAGAUGUGGAGGAAUACCGAUGGCGAAGGCAGCCCCCUGGGCCAAUACUGACGCUCAUGCACGAAAGCGUGGGGAGCAAACAGG
rnacentral:rRNA from 1 species